rnacentral:rRNA from 1 species
AGAGUUUGAUCCUGGCUCAGGACGAACGCUGGCGGCGUGCCUAAUACAUGCAAGUCGAGCGGACAGAUGGGAGCUUGCUCCCUGAUGUUAGCGGCGGACGGGUGAGUAACACGUGGGUAACCUGCCUGUAAGACUGGGAUAACUCCGGGAAACCGGGGCUAAUACCGGAUGCUUGUUUGAACCGCAUGGUUCAGACAUAAAAGGUGGCUUCGGCUACCACUUACAGAUGGACCCGCGGCGCAUUAGCUAGUUGGUGAGGUAACGGCUCACCAAGGCGACGAUGCGUAGCCGACCUGAGAGGGUGAUCGGCCACACUGGGACUGAGACACGGCCCAGACUCCUACGGGAGGCAGCAGUAGGGAAUCUUCCGCAAUGGACGAAAGUCUGACGGAGCAACGCCGCGUGAGUGAUGAAGGUUUUCGGAUCGUAAAGCUCUGUUGUUAGGGAAGAACAAGUGCCGUUCAAAUAGGGCGGCACCUUGACGGUACCUAACCAGAAAGCCACGGCUAACU